UCCAAAUCACUCUUAUAUUCAUGAAAACAUAAUAGGUUGAGAUCUAAAAUCAUGGCACUCAAGCCCUAGUGACAAGCAUUAAGCAUAACAAAGUCAUAGUAACAUCAAUCUCACAACAUAGUGGAUACCAGGGGUCAAGCCCUAUCAAACUUAACUCGAUUACAUGAUCAAUCUUAUCCAUUUCCACCGCAGUCCAGCAAGCCUACAAAGUAAUUACUCAUUCCCGUUGGUGAGCAUCAUGGUGGUGUUGAUGGAGAAGGAUUGGUGAUGACGGCGACAAUGAAUCCCGCUGUGCGGGGCCCCAAACGGACUCCAGAUUAGCUCUCUAGGGGGGAGAACACGAGGUGGCGGCGGCUUCGUCUUGUAGAUCAUGAUGAAAACUUCUCUCCUAUUAUUUACUCGGUGAUUAUGAAUUUAUAGGACUGGAAAUAGGUUCGGAAG
rnacentral:lncRNA from 1 species